CAAGAAGUAAGGUCUCAGAGGAUUUCGAUCCUCCUUUUCUUGGUAGAGGGGGAAGGAUUUCUCUUGAUUUUCUUCUACGCAUGUGCAGAAAAACUUUAUUCUAUUUUCCAUAUAAAUUCUUCAUUAACCAACAACUUCAACUUGCAACCACUCUCCUAUCUCUCAUUACCCGAAAAAAGAAAAAAAAAACCACUCUCCUAUCUUCUAUACUUCUUUGAUAUAAAAAGUUUUUAAUUUUUGCUAUUACAACCAUGAUCUUUCGAAGUCCCACCAAACAAAAGCUUGCUUCACUCAAGAAUCUUGCUCUGAGGUGUUUGAAAAGAAAUAAAAGCAUUCCAAAGGCAAAGAGAGUAACAAUAUUCCUCUUCUAGUCCCUGAAGGUUAUGUGCCAAUCUAUGUAGGAGAAGAAUGCAUGAGGUAUGUGGUUCCAUUGAAGCAUCUAUCGAAACAUGAAUUUCAGGUGUUGCUUGAGCAGUCAGAAGAGUUAAAUGCAAGAACUGAAGGUCCUCUCAUGUUAGAAUGUACUGUCCAGAUAUUCGAGGAGGAGAAGAAUGCAUGAGGUAUGUGGUUCCAUUGAAGCAUCUAUGGACACCGGAAUUCUCAGCCAUUCUUGAGCACUCAGAAGAGUUGAAUACAAAAACUGUGGGUCCCCUCAAGCUAGCAUGUACAGUCCAGACAUUUGAGGAGAUAUUGAAAAGAUUGAGCUAGCCAAAAUAGAUACUUAUUGCGCUUCAAGGAAUCCAUAUGGUGAGUUUUCUUCCUUUGAAUUCGACAUGAAACCUUGUGGUCAAGAUGGCCUUCUGUACUACUAUAUAUCACAUUUAGUGAGAAAGAAACAUGCAUGGCUGGACUUCCACAUCCUAUACUUGGAACCAAAUUUGGAUCACCAUUGAUUUUGAUAUUAAAUUCAAGGUUAACCAACUUCACUUUCUUUUGCUCAGGUAAUGAGAUGAAUCUGCAUAUGAUAACAACUUGGGAUUUACAUAUUUGGUUACUGUAAUUUGCUUCUUGUAAUGUUUUUUCUGAAGGAGGUUCUUCCUCCCCUAUUGGCCCUUUUGGGUUUGUAAUGUAUAUUUCUUCACUCUUUAAUGCAAUUUUGAUUCACCUAAUAAAAGAAUAUAAGUAGUUUAUGUAGUCA